rnacentral:rRNA from 1 species
GUCGAGCGCGGGAAGCCGGCGGACUCCUUCGGGAGGAAACCGGUGGACCGAGCGGCGGACGGGUGAGUAACACGUGGGCAACCUGCCGGACUGAUGGGAAUAACCCCGGGAAACCGGGGCUAAUGCCCAAUACGCCCUGACCUCGCCUGAGGUCAGCGGUAAAGCAGGGAUCUUCGGAUCCUUGCACAGUCCGAUGGGCCCGCGGCGCAUUAGCUAGUUGGAGAGGUAAGGGCUCCCCAAGGCGACGAUGCGUAGCCGACCUGAGAGGGUGAUCGGCCACACUGGGACUGAGACACGGCCCAGACUCCUACGGGAGGCAGCAGUAGGGAAUCAUCCGCAAUGGGCGAAAGCCUGACGGUGCAACGCCGCGUGAGUGAUGAAGGUUUUCGGAUCGUAAAGCUCUGUUGACAGGGAAGAACCCACGCCAGUCGAACAGGCUGGCGUGCUGACGGUACCUGUCCAGAAAGCCCCGGCUAACUACGUGCCAGCAGCCGCGGUAAUACGUAGGGGGCAAGCGUUGUCCGGAAUUAUUGGGCGUAAAGGGCACGCAGGCGGUUUCGUCAGUCCGAUGUGACAGGCCACGGCUCAACCGUGGAAGGCCAUUGGAAACUGCGAAACUUGAGGACAGAAGAGGAGAGUGGAAUUCCACGUGUAGCGGUGAAAUGCGUAGAUAUGUGGAGGAACACCAGUGGCGAAGGCGACUCUCUGGUCUGUACCUGACGCUGAGGUGCGAAAGCAUGGGGAGCAAACAGGAUUAGAUACCCUGGUAGUCCAUGCCGUAAACGCUGAGUGCUAGUGUUAGGGGUUUCGAUACCCGUAGUGCCGAAGCUAACGCAUUAAGCACUCCGCCUGGGGAGUACGACCGCAAGGUUGAAACUCAAAGGAAUUGACGGGGCCCGCACAAGCGGUGGAGCAUGUGGUUUAAUUCGACGCAACGCGAAGAACCUUACCAGAUCUUGACAUCUUCCGCUACGCCUCGAGAGAGGCGGUUCCCCUUUCGGGGGACGAUGACAGUGGUGCAUGGGUUGUCGUCAGCUCGUGUCGUGAGAU